UCCGGCUUGUCGCCGGCAGUCUCCUUAGAGUUCCCACCAUUACGUGCUGGCAACUAAGGACAGGGGUUGCGCUCGUUGCGGGACUUAACCCAACACCUCACGGCACGAGCUGACGACAGCCGUGCAGCACCUCCACAGGCUCCUAAAUAAAUAGGUCCCUCACAUCUCUGAUCGGUACUACCUGCAGUUCAAACCCAGGUAAGGUUCUUCGCGUUGCGUCGAAUUAAACCACAUGCUCCACCGCUUGUGCGGGCCCCCGUCAAUUCCUUUGAGUUUCACCCUUGCGGGCGUACUCCCCAGGUGGCACACUUAAUGCGUUAGCUGCGGCACGGAAGGGGUCGAUACCUCCCACACCUAGUGUGCAUCGUUUACUGCGUGGACUAC
rnacentral:misc_RNA from 1 species